CCUACGGGAGGCAGCAGUGGGGAAUAUUGCACAAUGGGGGAAACCCUGAUGCAGCGACGCCGCGUGAGUGAAGAAGUAUUUCGGUACGUAAAGCUCUAUCAGCAGGGAAGAAAAUGACGGUACCUGACUAAGAAGCCCCGGCUAACUACGUGCCAGCAGCCGCGGUAAUACGUAGGGGGCAAGCGUUAUCCGGAUUUACGGGGUGUAAAGGGAGCGUAGACGGCAGCGCAAGUCUGGAGUGAAAUCCCAUGGCUUAACGAUGGAACUGCUUUGGAAACUGUGCAGCUAGAGUGCAGGAGAGGUAAGCGGAAUUCCUAGUGUAGCGGUGAAAUGCGUAGAUAUUAGGAGGAACACCAGUGGCGAAGGCGGCUUACUGGACUGUAACUGACGUUGAGGCUCGAAAGCGUGGGGAGCAAACAGGAUUAGAUACCCCAGUAGUC
rnacentral:rRNA from 1 species